rnacentral:rRNA from 1 species
UAGGGAAUCUUCGGCAAUGGGGGCAACCCUGACCGAGCAACGCCGCGUGAGUGAAGAAGGUUUUCGGAUCGUAAAGCUCUGUUGUAAGUCAAGAACGGGUGUGAGAGUGGAAAGUUCACACUGUGACGGUAGCUUACCAGAAAGGGACGGCUAACUACGUGCCAGCAGCCGCGGUAAUACGUAGGUCCCGAGCGUUGUCCGGAUUUAUUGGGCGUAAAGCGAGCGCAGGCGGUUUGAUAAGUCUGAAGUUAAAGGCUGUGGCUCAACCAUAGUUCGCUUUGGAAACUGUCAAACUUGAGUGCAGAAGGGGA